GUUCAUGUGAAAUUGAAAAAUAAUGACUCUGGCGGUGCCUUUGGAACUUAUUUAUAGUAAAGAGGUUGAUAUAGCUGAUGAGGGGAUUGAUGAAAUGGAAGAGGAAAGUCAGGACUCUCUUCAGAUCGAUGAGAUUGAUUCAAUAAAAUCUCUGAUCCAACAUUUCUCCAGUCGUCAUCUUCAGUCCUCAUGGAAGGUAAUGAGUGAGCACAACGAAUAUUUCUCCUGUUUUCUCCGGACUCAUUAUACUCUUAUUAGAGGAGACGGACCUCUACCUGCACACGUCAGACAUUUCAUCGCUAUCAUGGCGGCAGGUGCACAUAGCUGUUUUCCUCUUGUUGAAUUGCACAAGACUGAGUUGAUAGCUGCUGGUGGACCCAUCUCUUGGCUAGAGCAUGGUCUUUCAGCUGCUUCAGUUAAAGUUCAGAGACUGAGCGAAAUUAAUCGGAUACUCGCUCAUCAACCCUGGACUCUCACGCCUGCACAUAUAGAAGCUAUCACGAGAUCUGGUACUCCUGGAAACUGGUCUCUAUCUGAGCUGGUUUACGCCAUUGUUUUAAUGGCACAUUUUCAUGCAUUCUCAUCUUUCAUAGAAAGCUGUUCUUCAAUGGAGGAGGAUGAUAUUAAAAAUAAAUUUGGAAAACCUACAGUUUCCCCUCAAGAAUUUAAAGAUGAGAACCCGACCCGACCAUUUGAUUGUACAUCACAGAACUGCUCCCCAACCAGGACGAGCGAAAGAGUCAAAUCAUCCUCCAAAGUUUCUAAACAUCCUCAAGGCUUGGAUCAGUUUUCAAAAUCACCACCAUAUGAUUGUAGUAGACCAAAGACUGCAAAGGGAUCCCCAGAGACAGAUUUAGUGGAUACGCUUGUACAGAAAAUGCAGCUGCUGAGAGAAAAGCCGGAACCAGAUAGUGAUGAGCUUGCUGCAACGUUUGACAAGGUAAAAAUGACGAGUGCUGACAUUGGACUUGGAGCUGAGGCUAGACGAACCACACCUGAUCUAAGAAAGUUUGUGACGAACCCUGAUUUCCACUAUGUUGAUUUUGCUCAGAGAGAAUUCAAACAGCAGUUUCCAACUUUUAGAAUACAGGAUUAUAAUUGGGACGAGCAAGGGUUUUCCUUGAUAUCACGGUUUUACGACGACAUUGCACAACUGCUAGACGACAAAUUUAAAACAGCAUACAACAUGACAUAUGGUACAAUGGGGCGGUAUUCGGCCAUUGAUACAUCUAUGUAUAGACGAGCUACAUGGAAUUACAUUCAGUGUCUAUAUGGUAUUCGUUGGGACGACUACGAUUACGCAGAGGUGAAUGAGCUUUUACACAGGUCUCUGAAAGGAUAUGUUAAGACGGCUGCCUGCUACCCGGACCGCUGUUCACGGCAGGAUUACAAACACAUAAUGACAGAUUUUCUGCCAUCCGAGAAAAUUCACGUCUGUUUACUUGUGGCUGAAGCUAAAUUCCAAUCUGAGCUUCUUUAUGCUCUCAAGGCAGUGGCUGUGUAUUUCAGAUCAUAACAAAAAGAAUUUCUCACGGUACAAGUUAUCCUUUUUGUUUGAUUAACAGUAAUAUUCCAAUUUCUAAAAAUUUUAAAAUUAAUUGGAUUGUCGGUGUAACAAACGAAGAGUGAGUGUUCUUGAGGGGAGAAAAUACAGCAAAUCAAAUCAAAUUAAACCAAGUAAAUUCAUCUUAUUUGUGAUUUUUGUCAGUACUUCAUAGACAAAAGUGGCAGGAUCAAUUGCGAAUUCAGAAAGAUUUAAACCACCUUCCUACCUAAAGAUUCUAUUGAAGACCAACUGGUUUCUAAACUGGAAAAUUAGUUGUUAAGA
rnacentral:misc_RNA from 1 species